GAUGAAGAACGUAGCGAAAUGAGAUAAGUAAUGUGAAUUGCAGAAUUCAGUGAAUCAUCGAAUCUUUGAACGCACAUUGCGCCCCUUGGUAUUCCGAGGGGCAUGCCUGUUCGAGCGUCAUUAUAACCCCUCAAGCUCAGCUUGGUGUUGGGGCCUGCUGCACUGGCAGCCCUUAAAAUCAGUGGCGGCGCCAUCUGGCUCUAAGCGUAGUAAUUCUUCUCGCUAUGGAGUCCUGGUGGAUGCUUGCCAUCAACCCCCAAUUUUUCUAUGGUUGACCUCGGAUCAGGUAGGGAUACCCGCUGAACUUAAGCAUAUCAAUAAGCGGAGGA
rnacentral:misc_RNA from 1 species